rnacentral:tRNA from 5 species
GGUGGGAUGGCCGAGCGGUUUAUGGCGCUGGUCCUGAAAACCAGUGUCCGUUUUCAGCGGACCAGAGGUUCAAAUCCUCUUCCCACCG